rnacentral:tRNA from 1 species
CAGAAAAUAGUUUAUAUAAAAAUAUUAGUUUUGGGGACUGAAGACGGGAGUUUAUCUUUUUUCUGA